rnacentral:snoRNA from 1 species
AAUCAGUGAUGAAACCUAUCCCGAAACUGAUUGCCUGAAGAAAAGCAUAUACGGAUUCGGCUUCUGAGAU